rnacentral:rRNA from 1 species
UAGUCUGGGAAACUGCCUGAUGGAGGGGGAUAACUACUGGAAACGGUAGCUAAUACCGCAUAACGUCGCAAGACCAAAGAGGGGGACCUUGGGCCUCUUGCCAUCGGAUGUGCCCAGAUGGGAUUAGCUAGUAGGUGGGGUAACGGCUCACCUAGGCGACGAUCCCUAGCUGGUCUGAGAGGAUGACCAGCCACACUGGAACUGAGACACGGUCCAG